GUAAUGGAGAGAAUGGAGUCUGGACCUAUGCUGGAGGCCAACAAACUGGCCAUGUGUCUGUCUGAGGAGAUGACUGACAUUACAGCGCUCAGCCUAGCCCUGUACAGCCCACCAAUACACUUCGAGCUGACUGGAGACGUCCAGGGGAAAUGGAGGCUUCAGUCUAACUAUGGUACAUCUGUGAGGCUGAUCAAAGAGAGCGCCGUACAGGCGGGCGAUCAUCAACUCACCCUGAAGAUCUCUGACAGCCAGGGCCAGCAUUCAGUCCAGACCCUCUCGCUGCUUGUGUGUGACUGUGAUGUUUCUGCAAACUGCAAAGACCCAGCAACAAAGAUGAACGUCACUGCCAUCGCUGUCGUAAUCCUCAACAUCCCGGUGCUGCUGGGUAUCCUGUUGAUGGCGUGGUGUCAGGUCAGAGCAAAGAAAUCUGCAAAGCACCAAAUGCUUUUAGUGGAG
rnacentral:lncRNA from 1 species